GCUCUCCCUUUCGUCCCACUUCCUUCCAUUCCAUUGAUGAGAGAGAUCGAGGAAGCUGCGUCCCUCGCUCGCGUCUGCACACGGCAACUGGGCGUUGCGUGGGUUGGUCCAAGGAAGAAGAUGGCGAUCGAUCGAUACCCUUGGUCCCUUGCCGUUUCCUCCAUGUUAGUCUCCAUCGUCGUCGUCGUCUCCACAGCCGGCCGGAGCUCGCCGCAGUACGAGUAUGACAUGACACUUCCCCGUAUAGCACUCGACGUCGAGCUAGCCCUGCAGCUGCAGGGUGUGGAGAUAUGCGUGCGCCAUAGCUAGGACUCCUAGCUUAGCUAGGGAAGCUGCUUUGAUAGUUGGAUUGGGACAUGCUUUAGCACUCCAUUGGCUGCUUUGGGUGGUGCUGCCGCUGCCGGCCGGCAAGAGAGAGAGAGAGAGAGAGAUAGAGAGGGGCGGCUUUAGGCUGGCUAGCUAGCUAUACUACUACCCCCCAUUAGGCCAGCACUUUAGAUGCAAUAUAAAAUUUGCAUCAAAAGCUGCAUCAUCCUUUAAUCCCCUUGGGAAGUAUUCUCGCCAGUGUCUUGUGCUCCAUGUCCUUUGCAUUCCCUAGCUCCUUUUGUAGCUAGCUGUACUACUCCACAGUACUUUUUGGUGAGCAGCAGGUGGCCAUGGAGUUGUUGUGCUGUGUACUCCGAUCCUACAUGUGUUGUGCAGCUAAGCUCGCAUGCUUUGCUGCGCUGCCCCCCUCUCGAUCUCCUCUCCUCUAUAAAUCCAGCUUCUGCUCUUUCUUCUACCUCCAUCCUUCACUCCUUCGCACUGUUCUGUAUCCACCCCUAACCCUAGGUCCCUAGCUUCCUCCUCCGGCCUCCAGCCGAGAACAAGUCCGGCCGGUCAUCUUGCUGUCUUUGUUGCUGCUUACUAGCUUGUGCAUGCCCAACGUGCUCCAGUUUUGUUUCUAGCUCGCUAGCAUUAUACUGCAUGCCCAAAAUGGAACACAUGCUUUUGCUCUCUUGGUCGGUCUUCAUUCCUUGCACAGUUGCAAGCACAGUUAUGUGAAUGAGAGAGAUACAGACAGAUACAUAGAAGAGGAGCCGAAAGGUAAGCUGAUGCAAGUUUCAACUAUGUACUUCUCCUAACCAGUUUGCCAUCUUGCUGCCAGAAAUCUUUCAGGUUAUUAUGAAGUCUCAUAUGAUUUCAGUUUGUGGUUUUUAACACAUGGCCGAUUCUCUGUCUCAAGUAUAUAUCUCUAGCACGCCUGUAUGCUCCUAUAUUUGCUUCAAUAUAUACCAUUGUGAUCCCUGAAUUCCGGGUACAUACACAACUUUUUUUUUUUAUCAUCUAUUGAUCGAUACUGCAUUUUAGUCUGAAAUGAGUACAUUGACAAUGCGAUCAUGCUUUGGUUUGAUUUAUCGAUUUCUUUCUUUUUUUCUACCUGCUCGCUUUUCUUAUCUCACAGUCUUUUCUACUUAUAUAUUCUUCAGUGUUCUGAUCGAGGUAUACAGCCUUUACCCCGGCCCUUUUGUUUUUUUAAUGAAACUUUCACGCAUUUAGAAUUAGUGCUGCAAAUGGCAAACACACAAGGCCUAGUUCCUGCUAGAUUACAUGAAAGAAUAAAUCCGUUGAAAGGUGUCUGGAUUUUCAUUAAUUUCUUUUGUUCCUUGAUCCCCCCCCCCCCCCCCCCCCCAGUUCAGUUCAAUCCCUGCACUAUAUUUCAAGUAUUAGUGUUUCUCCAAUGGGACUUAUCACAUGCUCAGAUGUGGAAAGAGCUGCUUGUAUGUAGCAAAGUGAACGUUGCGAGAAGGAAUUUCUCAAAAAGGUUUUUAAGCGACCAUAUGCUUUUUCCAAAAAAGGAUAAAUUUGAAUGACAGAUCGAGCAUUAAUUUCCUGAGCGAUGUUAGUACAUAUAAGGCUUAAGGUCAUUGGGCAGUACAUUGACUGACAUUAUUCAUGUCGUUAACAUUAAUUUACUCUUGUUUGUAUGUAACUACUUGCAGAUGUGUAUGCCUAGUAGGUUUGAUUGAAAAACCUUGUGAUAAUUCUCCAAUAGGCGGUAACGACAUCUGUAGAUGCCGUGUUGUUCCCUGAGGCUUGGCUUUGGUGACCCCUUCCCAUCGUGCUUGUUGCCGCGUGCAUGUUGGCAUUAGGUUGCCGGUGCAUUGUUGGUUAUGUUUUAGUGAUGUUGUUGUGUGCCUUGCUGUCGUUGUUUCUGUUGUGUGGGUGGUUUUUGUACGUUUCUUUUAUUUCUGUGUGUUGUUGUUUGUGUAAGUUUCUUGCUCUAUAUUAAUAGAUCUCCACCGAAUUUCUUGUCGGUUGCUCUUUUGGUAAAAAAAAAAACCUUGCAGAUGUAUGCUCAUAUAUACCUUGGUUGCACUCAUGAGCUAAGUGAAUGCAAUUUUACUUCAUUCAUUAUGUAUCUUUUCUUUUUUUUUUCAUUCACCCAUUUUGGUUAGUAAGUACUCUCUUCAUCCUAAAUUAUAAGUUAUUCUAAGAAUUUUGGAGAGUCAAAAUAUCCUAAGUUUGACCAAAUUUAUAUAAGAAUAAUAAUUAUUAUGAUACCAACUAAGUAUCAUUAGAGUCUUUCUUAAUUAUAUUUUUAUAGUACUCACUUUAUGUUAUAAAUCUUAGUAUUUUUCUUUAUAAUUUUGGUCAAACUUGAAAAUAGUUUGACUCUCCAACAUUUUUAGAAUGACUUACAAUUUGAAAUGAAGGAAGUAAGAUACUCCUCCACACGAUAUUGCCAAAUUAAACACCAAGAAUAGAGCAACAUUGCAUUGCAUUUUCAUGCAAUCACAUCAUCUGACUAUCAGACGGCACCCAGCACGUAGUCAUCGGAGAGCGCGCGCAUUUAUCCGAACUCUGAACUUUCUUUUGGCAUCCAUGGCUAGUAUGAACUAGUUUUUCUCGAACACGAAGGAGAGCUUUGCAUAAGCAUCGCAAGAGUUGUUACACAUUCAUAAUGGUUGCUAGCACGAAUUACGGGUGCGCGUGCGCGUGCCGUACAUUCGUACAGGAGCAGAAAGUUGGACUGUGCCGGCAAAGUUCAUGCUCCCAGCUUUGUGCUUUGCAUUGGGGCUUUGCUGUGGGUCCUCCUGACAGAGACCGUAGUAAUAAGAAACCAAAAGGAUGUUGCGUAUAGGAUGUGCAAUGUUCAAACUUAACAGAAGCAUUUUUCCACGGUCCUUGGAAGUGUUCGAGCAGGCACUAAUAACGACGGUAUAUAUAAUGUGUGAGCUACCAGAAGAAUUUAGAGUCUGUCUAGUUCAGCUCGCUAUGAUCUGUGUUAAAACUGUUUAGUAUGAAACCUAUCUUUUAUCUCCAUUGAUUGAAACAACUAUAAAACGUCUCACUAUUUUUCACCCAUUUGAAAAAGUAGCACUGAAAUCAAAUGCAGAGGGCAAGUUGCUACAAAAAUUGUACUAAAAAAAUCAGCUACUUAUUUAAAAAAACAGCUGCUUCUAGCGGAAACACUUUUUACAAGGUGCCUUCACAAGGACAAUGAAGAACCUCUGAACAUAACUGCCUCCCAUGCUGCUUAACCGAACGAGCCGCAUACAGUUCCUUUUGUUCCAUCAGCACCACUGCACUAGCACAAAGCAGUACUAAACAGCUAGCUACUAGGCCAGUCCACCACCACAAUAAUUUGUCCAUGAUCACCAUGCUUGCUAUUGCCACUUUGGCAAGGCCCACCCCACUGCAAGCAAGGAUCACUCAUCAUCCAUGUACGUGCUAGUUCCUGCCUUUCUGGCCAGCCAGCACAGUACAGACAGGCAGCAGCCAUUGUUGCGUUGCAUGGACCACUCGAGCAGUUCAGCAGUGGCAGUAGCAGUGCUACACGGACGCAUGCAGGGAUCACUGCGACGGCAUCCACAAAGACAAAGGACCGUGCCAAGAUUUGUUUGGAGUCCUCUGAUUGGGAGGAGCACGGUGACCUCGCAUAAUUGUGGUGACAGAGACAGGAACAGGAUGAUGGAUGGCAGCUACUUCUGCUGCUUGGACGAACACACCUGCGACGAUGUUGGACGCUUUAUGAGACAACACAUCAGUGUCUCAGUUAUUCAAAGUGAUGUCACUGCCUCACUGGAGCUUGCUGAAAGUAACUGCAACAACAGUGUCGUCCGCGAAGCAGGGCAGAGAUGCAUGUGUCUUGGAUCACAUGCAUGAGCAUGUUACAAGGAAUAUAUAUGCCUUGUACUAGUCUUAAUUUCUGGAUGAUUGAUGUAUCCAAGCUAUGUCCAUAUAUGUUCACACUGACAGUACUUACAGGCAUUCAAAGGUUUGUAUGUUUGCAAAUGAAUUAAUCAGCAAGCACAAAGCCACCGCAGCAGGAUGUGGAUGGUACCAUGAAAAUAAUUGUGUCAUCAAUCCAAUAUUUGUACACACAGAAGUUGUUUCCUCAUAUGUACUUACUCCUUUGACUCAACAAUGAUGUUUGUUCUGCC